CCUACGGGAGGCAGCAGUAGGGAAUCUUCCGCAAUGGACGAAAGUCUGACGGAGCAACGCCGCGUGAGCGAAGAAGGCCUUCGGGUCGUAAAGCUCUGUUGUUAGGGAAGAACAAGUAUCGGAGUAACUGCCGGUACCUUGACGGUACCUAACCAGAAAGCCACGGCUAACUACGUGCCAGCAGCCGCGGUAAUACGUAGGUGGCAAGCGUUGUCCGGAAUUAUUGGGCGUAAAGCGCGCGCAGGCGGUUUCUUAAGUCUGAUGUGAAAGCCCCCGGCUCAACCGGGGAGGGUCAUUGGAAACUGGGAAACUUGAGUGCAGAAGAGAAGAGCGGAAUUCCACGUGUAGCGGUGAAAUGCGUAGAGAUGUGGAGGAACACCAGUGGCGAAGGCGGCUCUUUGGUCUGUAACUGACGCUGAGGCGCGAAAGCGUGGGGAGC
rnacentral:rRNA from 1 species